UGCUCUUUCCCUUUUCCACCCAUUCGUUUCUGUACGUCUUCUUCCCAUUUCCCAUUUCCCAUUUCCAUUCAGUUGUCUACCACAGUUUCCGCGGCAGACGGCGAGUCCGGCUUCCUAGAGCAGAUGAUGGCCGAUUAGCUGUGGGAGGAGAAGAUUUGGAGAGGAAAGUUAGGGAGGAGGUCAUCGGCUGGGUUGUCUUCGGCUCCAAAAUUAUAUACGAGGACGACGCAAAUAUGGUCCAUGGUCGGUUGUUUCGGAACUGUGCCAAAUCCUGAGGUAUGGUUGAUGGAGAAAAUCAUGCGUCAAUUACUAAUUGAUUGUAGAUUUUUUGCUCUCUGUCAAAACGUUUUCAUGUUUUCGGAGAAACCCCAAAAUGGCCGUAUUUCUAGCGCUGAAAUCUGAUUCCCAAAAAAAUUUGAGGGAUGUGUAAAGGCCAAUUUCGUGAUUACUGUGCUCUGUGAUGACAAUAAUUUUUGAUGAUUCCUGUAAAUUCAGGUAGUGUCUUUCGCGCAACAAGAAUUAAAAAGAUAGGUGCAAGAAAAUGUGCCGUGGUGGCGUACUCUCUGGCACAAAAUAGGGAAAACUAUUGAAGGAUAAAAAACGCUGUUCUUGUUCUCCAUCUUUAAAAGGGUCCUUGUUAUUGUUCAUCUUUAGGCACUCUAAGUACGAAAAGCCAAGUAGUUGGUUUAGUUCACUCGCUUGAGAAGGAUGAUAUCCAUCUUUAAAAAGGCCCUUGUUAUUGUUCAUCUUUAGGCACUCUAGGUAAAAUAGGCCAAGUAGCCGGUUUAGUUCACUUGUUUGAUAACUUGAUAUGCUUGAAUUGAUGCGGAAGGAAACAAUAAUAAAAGUUUUGUAGUGUUGCAUGAAAACAUAGGUUGAGAGCAUGCGAAUACAUUUCGUUCAUAUUUUUUAAUUUAAUUACCAGUAGCGAGCAACAGAAACCGUGAAAACUUAAUACGUUCGCGUUUUAGUACCUUUUCUUUCGCUUGGGCUGAAAAUGUAGCGGGGUAAGCCAAGGGAUGGAUUUGUAUCCUGGCUAGCAUGGCUUUAGGGGAAGUCAUUGUUGGAUGAUGUGGAAAAACCUAUAGGGUGAAAGGUGGUUUAGGCGCGAUAGUUUAGGCAGCCCCUUUGACUCCCUCACGUAGGAAGGAUGACAGAUGUAGGAAUCGGUGACUCAAUAUACCCAAAAUGAUCUAAAAGGAAAGAGUAAUGAAAGUUUGGUAGUGCUCCGCAGAAUAACGGGCUGAAAGCAGGCGUAGUUACCAACACCAAAUAAGGAAAAAGCGCGAAAACGUAAUACUUUCACAUUUUCCAGCUUUGGUUCUGAAGUGGAGCAAAGGACAGCUUUAUUCAAUUCUUGUAGCUUCUUCGUGGCAAGGAACAAGGCAAAGAAUUACUUUUUGGAACAAAGGAAGUAAAAACUCUUAUGUGGCGUGGCUUGAUUAACCAAAAGCUCCUAUGUGGCAUGUAUGGUCCUAUCCCGAAUUGUUGAUGAUGAGAUUUUUUCCAUCUCUUUUAGAGCAUACCUUCAGUAAUGGGGUAAGCCAAAGAAUGGAUUUGUAACCUGAUUGGCGUGGCUUUAAGGGAAGUCAUUGUUGGAUGAUGUGGAUAAACCUGUGGAAUGAAAGGUAGUUUAGACACGAUAGGUUCCGCCCUUUGCUUUGUAUUGGAGGAUUAAAAGGGUAAGUUAAAAAAUAAAACCUCUGGAGUGAAAGGAGCUCAGAAUAUCUAGGCCCUUCCUUUCAUAUUUUUCGGCGAGAUUGCCGAUAACAAAUAACAGAAAACGUGAAAACUUAAUGCAUUCGCAUUUUGCUAGCUUUUCUUUUGCUUUCCAUUAGUUUUGUAGCUUGGGAUGUAGGUGUAGCGGGGCAAGCUAGGGAAUGGAUUUGUAAUCUGACUAGAAUGACUUAUAGGGAAGUUGUUGUUGGAUGGUGUGCAGGAGUUGUACGGUGAAAGAAAUUCAAAAUAUCAAGUACUUUGUUAUUCUUUGUCUUUAGGCAGUUUCAACACGAUGAGGGGCUCGCUCACAUGGGAAGGAUGAUAUAUGGGAAUCGGUAAUUCAAUGUACCUGAAAUGACCCGAAAGGAAAGAGUAAUGAAACUUUGCCAGUUGACACUCUCAUGUAGCAUGGCUUAACUAACUUACUCCGCUGAUUCUUUUUGAACAGGCACAUUUUUUCAUGAGUUGCCUAAUCAAAUUUUAUUCCUGUUAUGGUCCCAUCCCAAAUUGUUGGUGAGGGCCUUUUUCUCAUCUCUUUUACAGCAUGCCUUGAAUAGCAGUAUAAGGACUCAAACAAAGGGCUUGCCAUGUAUGAGAGAAACAAAUACUGGGGUAGGGUUUUCGAGGUCAGACGAACAUGGGGCGGGUUGCGUUUAAGAGCUCCGUCGUAGUUCAAGCUUCAAAUCCCGAAAGAGAAGAAGUGAAUUCGAGCACGGAGGAGUCCGGCCGUGCCUUCACAUCUCUGAGGGAAAACCAAUCCCUACCGAGCUCAGAAACAAAGAAGCCGAACUACGCCGGGAUAUCAACCUAGAGGACAAAAACUGCCAGUAAUCACAAAAGAGUCUUUUUUGGCUGCACAGAGGCAAGAUUUGCAUAGGUUAAAGGAUUUGCCGUCUCUGGGAGAAUUUCACGCCUCUGGGAGAAUUUCACGCCUGGACUCUACUCAUUCAUUUUCGCUGGGAUGUGGAGAAGUUUGCGGUGCUUGUGGAGAAGUCAUAAAUAGAAAGAUGAGGAAAUAACAGGAAGUUCUUUCUUGUUUGAUGAAGCGGGUGCAACUGUAGUUGAAAAACAUGAUCUUGAUUCAUCUCCGUUUGCCACUAUGGCAUGCAAUAUUUGCAUGGAGGAUGCACCUGGUACUGUAGUGACAAAAAUGGAAUGUGGCCACAACUUUUGCAACAACUUUGCACACUCACCCUAUUCGUGUUUGAUGCCGGAGCUAUGGACCAGGAAGUGUCAUGAUGAGUCUGAGACAGUUAAUUGGAUUACUGUACAUACAAUACCUUGUCCAAAGUGUCACAAACGAAUGGAAAAGGACAGUAGCUGCAACUUGGUGAGCUGCAUAUGUCGGCAAGCAUUUUGGAAAAAAUCUGGAAUUCUUUUGUUCAUGGCCAUGUGAAGAAAGCUUGUGAUAUUUGUCCUUUGGUGUGGGCGAGAAUGUUUUAUUCAUCGUCGGACUUGUUCGAAGGAUGCUUGCAAGCGUGUUCAUACUUUGUGUCUGAAGACGAGGGAGCUGUUCUUGCAAGACAUGGCUCAAAGACUUGGUUUCUACCUUUGAUGAUGAAGUUGGUUGCGAUAGAGAUUUGUUCUUUAAUUUUGGUUUUUCGGAGAUUGGUUCUAUUUUAGUCGUGUAUCUUUCUCUAUAACAAAUCUUAUAUUAGGAAGAUAGAAGUCAAGACCUUAAUCUUUGGUUUUUGAUUAAGGUGAUUGGAAUCGAGAGUUCUUUGGGUUAGGCUUC